CUGUACUUGUAAGUUGAUGUAGAAUAUAUGAUGAAUUAUAAAUAUAUGAUAUAGCACUAGCAUUGAAAUUGUGUAAUUUGGGUAGUAGGCCUAUACAAAAAAAUAAAUAAAAACAAUAAUAAUAAUAAUAAUGAUAAUAUUAAGUUUGCAAUGGUUAAUGGGAUUGGUAGUUCCUUCACUCUUUCACAAAAAAUAAUGUUCACAGGCUCUUUGCUUUUUCUUCAGUUUUCUUAAUAUUUUUUUGCCCCGAAUUAAAUGUUUGAUGUUCACGACUAGCCUGAGGGAUGAUUGGCUUUGUUCCAGGCUAAAACUCUUGAUAUAACGAUUUUACGAAAAGUCAAUGGAGAAAAUGAAUUGGAAAUUUACCUCUGGGGACAGAGCUAUUUCAAAAGGGGGUGGUCACUGUUGCGCUCUAUAGAAAUUUUGUAAUCAUUUCUCGGUAUGGUCAUUCUUUGAAUCAAACUAUUGGAAAAUCCAUAUACUGUGUGUGUGAUGCUUGUAUAAUGAAGACCCAUGCCACUUAAACAUGAUUUUGUCAAUGUACUAUACUGCACGUUAACUAUUUUUGUCCCUGUAAUAAUUGUCUUUUAUGUGGAUUGUGGACUUAAAUCAAUUGUUAAAAUGUGUGUGUGUGUGUGUGUGGGUGUGUGUGUGUCUGUCUGUCUGUCUGUCUGUCUGUCUGUCUGUCUGUCUGUCUGUCUGUCUGUCUGUCUGUCUGUCUGUCUGUCUGUCUGUCUGUCUGUCUGUCUGUCUGUCUGUCUGUCUGUCUGUCUGUCUGUCUGUCUGUCUGUCUGUCUGUCUGUGUGUGUGUGUGUGUGUGUGUGUGUGUGUGUGUGUGUGUGUGUGUGUGUGUGUGUGACAGGUACUAGGAAAUGGGUUCUCAAGGUGAAGGUGCGUUCAGAGGACAUCCAGGAACUGAACGACCCUGCCAUGAAAACUGCCAUCUUGAAUCAAACCAAACAGUUGCUGAACGAAGCGACUUUGAGCAACUACCAUAAGAUGGUGUGGAAAACCAAUUCUGAUGGACAGGUCUUCACCAAGGAGCAGUGUCAGUACCAGGAGAAAGAGCAAGACUUUUGUGAUACUGUAUAGUCUCACAAAUCAGCAGAUUAACAUCUAAAGUCUGUCUAAAUUUUCCUUUAAUCAAACAUGCAUCCCUAGAGUGAUAAUUAGUCACGUUCCUAGAAUAAGGUCUACAUUGUGCUACAUUUCCGUUCAUAAAGCAAGUAAGCUAUAUGUAAGGAUGAACACCAUAUAUAUAAGGAGGCUUAAGGUACAAUUAGUUGUAUUUGUAGGGGUCAUGAAUGCCAAUUGGGUCACAUGUCUCCUACCUUAACGAUGUGAUAAUCUAGGUUUUCUGGAUGCAUAUGUUCCUGUGUUUUAGCGUAACAACAAAUAUAAAAGAGUGAUACAGUUUCUUGAAUGUAUAAUCCUGUGUUUGCUAUAUGUGACCAAGACUUCAGUUUGAGUGGCUGUAUGAUGUAACCAAAGAAGGGUUAGCCUGAAAGAGUAUAUGAGGCUCAGCCUCGAAGCAGAAUGUGCUGAGGGACACAUGUCCACUCCACAUUCAGGUUCAGAGCUGAGAAUUGACUUUGCAUGCUUUUACUUUAAUAAGAUGUCUUUAGUUCGGAUUUUGCCUUAACGUAAGUGAAUCUUGCCAUUGGCUAACAGAUAUUUUGAUCUGUUCCUAGUUUUAUUGAUAACAUGUUUUAACACCUAUUAUGACAAUGUUUUAUG
ensembl:lncRNA